rnacentral:lncRNA from 1 species
AACAAUGCAAGUUUGGCUGAAUUCAGCCGAAAACAACCAACCCAAGGCGGAUCGCCGCCGUGCUGGAAUUCCAAAAUUGGCCGAGUAGGCCCUGGGUCUGAUUUUGAGUUAUUUGGGUACAUGUGCAGGUAUUGUAAGUGCGUUUCAGUUCCUAGAAAAAAAUUCAGAGAAUCUAGGGACUGCCCGUAAGCGCAGUGAAAAUCCUGGUUUCGACUUCGAAUCAGGUAAGGACCCCUCACCUUAUUUCUUAUCACGGGAUUAAAGUCUAAUAAAUGAUAAAACUGUGUUUGUAUGAAUUAAAUAGAUAUACAUAAUUAUUACAGUUGCUAAUGGAGGCCGAACUGGACAUAUUUCUCUGUCAGUUCCUGUUUGAUUUAUUUUACAGUCUAAAUGCAGUAUGGUAUCUGAUUUAUUUAUUCUAUGAUUUUGAAUGCAUGAAUCACUGUUUACCUUAUUAUGGUUUGAUUUUGUGAAUUCGAUGAUAUGCUUACCUUGUUAGAUGCUCGUUACUUGUUUAAAGUAUUCAUGUUUAUGUGAGAAACAAAAAACUAAAAAAAAAUAAAAAAAGUGUGUGAAUUAAUAAAUGUAUAAGUUGACAGCCUCAUUAGAUAUCCUGGGAGAUGGUGGACGGACCGGGUCCAUAGAACCCUACUGGGAACAUUGUCUCAUACCGGACGGGGUAUGGAGACUUUAAAUAUUUUGGUACUCAUACUGGACGGGGUAUGAGGACGGCCCGCAUCACCCUCAUACCGGACGAGGUAUUGAGGUUUAUUGUUUAGCGCCCAUACCGGACGGGGUAUGGGGACGACCCUGGAAAUUAAGU